GGGGGUGAAACAGGUUCGACUGGGCGGUAAAGGGAUCGCGAGUUCUGUCCUGCCUCGGCAGGGUAAGAUGCGGCUUUCGGUAAGGACUCGACCGGUUCGGCGCGGGCAACCCCCGUUCCGAGCACCUGACCAAAACUCUAAAUGCCAACGACAACGUCGGCAUGGAGAUGCGCCUCGCGGCGUAAUCUUCCGGGGCGUGGGUACGCCUAGCAACAGAACCCGAGGCUUCGG
rnacentral:tmRNA from 1 species